rnacentral:rRNA from 1 species
ACGCUGACAGAAUGCUUAACACAUGCAAGUCAACUUGAAUUUGAGUUUUUAACUUAGAUUUGGGUGGCGGACGGGUGAGUAACGCGUAAAGAACUUGCCUCACAGCUAGGGACAACAUUUAGAAAUGAAUGCUAAUACCUGAUAUUAUGAUUUUAAGGCAUCUUAGAAUUAUGAAAGCUAUAUGCGCUGUGAGAGAGCUUUGCGUCCCAUUAGCUAGUUGGAGAGGUAACAGCUCACCAAGGCGAUGAUGGGUAGCCGGCCUGAGAGGGUGAACGGCCACAAGGGGACUGAGACACGGCCCUUACUCCUACGGGAGGCAGCAGUGGGGAAUAUUGGACAAUGGACCGAGAGUCUGAUCCAGCAAUUCUGUGUGCACGAUGAAGUUUUUCGGAAUGUAAAGUGCUUUCAGUUGGGAAGAAAUAAAUGACGGUACCAACAGAAGAAGUGACGGCUAAAUACGUGCCAGCAGCCGCGGUAAUGCGUAUGUCACGAGCGUUAUCCGGAUUUAUUGGGCGUAAAGCGCGUCUAGGUGGUUAUGUAAGUCUGAUGUGAAAAUGCAGGGCUCAACUCUGUAUUGCGUUGGAAACUGUAUAACUAGAGUACUGGAGAGGUAAGCGGAACUACAAGUGUAGAGGUGAAAUUCGUAGAUAUUUGUAGGAAUGCCGAUGGGGAAGCCAGCUUACUGGACAGAUACUGACGCUAAAGCGCGAAAGCGU